rnacentral:rRNA from 1 species
AUUGAACGCUGGCGGCAUGCCUUACACAUGCAAGUCGAACGGCAGCAUGAUCUAGCUUGCUAGAUUGAUGGCGAGUGGCGAACGGGUGAGUAAUACAUCGGAACGUGCCCUGUAGUGGGGGAUAACUAGUCGAAAGAUUAGCUAAUACCGCAUACGACCUGAGGGUGAAAGUGGGGGACCGCAAGGCCUCAUGCUAUAGGAGCGGCCGAUGUCUGAUUAGCUAGUUGGUGGGGUAAAGGCCCACCAAGGCGACGAUCAGUAGCUGGUCUGAGAGGACGAUCAGCCACACUGGGACUGAGGCACGGCCCAGACUCCUACGGGAGGCAGCAGUGGGGAAUUUUGGACAAUGGGCGAAAGCCUGAUCCAGCAAUGCCGCGUGUGUGAAGAAGGCCUUCGGGUUGUAAAGCACUUUUGUCCGGAAAGAAAUGGCUCUGGUUAAUACCUGGGGUCGAUGACGGUACCGGAAGAAUAAGGACCGGCUAACUACGUGCCAGCAGCCGCGGUAAUACGUAGGGUCCAAGCGUUAAUCGGAAUUACUGGGCGUAAAGCGUGCGCAGGCGGUUGUGCAAGACCGAUGUGAAAUCCCCGAGCUUAACUUGGGAAUUGCAUUGGUGACUGCACGGCUAGAGUGUGUCAGAGGGGGGUAGAAUUCCACGUGUAGCAGUGAAAUGCGUAGAGAUGUGGAGGAAUACCGAUGGCGAAGGCAGCCCCUGGGAUAACACUGACGCUCAUGCACGAAAGCGUGGGGAGCAAACAGGAUUAGAUACCCUGGUAGUCCACGCCCUAAACGAUGUCAACUAGUUGUUGGGGAUUCAUUUCCUUAGUAACGUAGCUAACGCGUGAAGUUGACCGCCUGGGGAGUACGGUCGCAAGAUUAAAACUCAAAGGAAUUGACGGGGACCCGCACAAGCGGUGGAUGAUGUGGAUUAAUUCGAUGCAACGCGAAAAACCUUACCUACCCUUGACAUGCCACUAACGAAGCAGAGAUGCAUUAGGUGCUCGAAAGAGAAAGUGGACACAGGUGCUGCAUGGCUGUCGUCAGCUCGUGUCGUGAGAUGUUGGGUUAAGUCCCGCAACGAGCGCAACCCUUGUCUCUAGUUGCUACGAAAGGGCACUCUAGAGAGACUGCCGGUGACAAACCGGAGGAAGGUGGGGAUGACGUCAAGUCCUCAUGGCCCUUAUGGGUAGGGCUUCACACGUCAUACAAUGGUGCAUACAGAGGGUUGCCAAGCCGCGAGGUGGAGCUAAUCCCAGAAAAUGCAUCGUAGUCCGGAUCGUAGUCUGCAACUCGACUACGUGAAGCUGGAAUCGCUAGUAAUCGCGGAUCAGCAUGCCGCGGUGAAUACGUUCCCGGGUCU